AGAGUUUGAUCAUGGCUCAGAAUGAACGCUGGCGGCGUGCCUAACACAUGCAAGUCGCACGAGAAAUCUGGUACCUAGUUCUGCUAGGUACUGGAGAGUAAAGUGGCGGACGGGUGAGUAACGCGUAGGUAACCUACCCCUGUAUCUGGGAUAACACCUCGAAAGGGGUGCUAAUACCGGAUACCAUCCUAGCAGGGAACUGCUAGGAUGAAAGCUAGCCUCUGUUAUACAAGCUAGCGUAUAGGGAUGGGCCUGCGUCCUAUCAGCUAGUUGGUGAGGUAAUGGCUCACCAAGGCUAAGACGGGUAGCUGGUCUGAGAGGAUGAUCAGCCACACUGGCACUGGGACACGGGCCAGACUCCUACGGGAGGCAGCAGUGAGGAAUAUUGCGCAAUGGCCGAAAGGCUGACGCAGCGACGCCGCGUGGGUGAAGAAGGCCUUCGGGUCGUAAAGCCCUGUCAGUGGGGAAGAAAUCCCUAUAGGUGAAUAGCCUAUAGGGUGANG
rnacentral:rRNA from 1 species